GUACAAAUUUUCUUUUUGGCCUGUAUGAUUGUAAUGUCGCUAAAUUCUUUACCUCAUCUAUUUCUUUUUGUUGUGCUGUGAUCUUAGCUCCUGUAACAGCUCAUCUCUUUGUUCAGUUUUAUGUUCCUUUUCUCCAGUAAAUAUGUAGGUUGCUGUUUUUCUUAAAUCUUCCCAUCCCAGAGACUCCCAAUCUGGGCAAUGACGCCUAAAAUAAGUAUUCACUGGCACACAAUUGCCUUUAACAAAUUGUCUGCUUAUAUGUUGUUAAAUUAGCCUCAGACAAAUCUGCAAACUCCAGAAGAUUCUCUCCCAUUUCUACUACUUGGUCUAAGAAUGUGGAUGGAUGUUCCCCUGUUUCCUGUUUAAGCUUUUCAAAUCUGCCACAUGUCAGGUCCCUUUGUGAAAAUUUUCAUUGCUUCAAUUAAACCUUAUCUAGACUGAUCAAGAAAUCUUGGAUUUUGGACAUUACAAAGUUCUAGAUUCUGUUCAUACUCAGGCCCUGAAAUCAAAUUUGGAUUGUUUCUAGUCUUGGCAAUGAAUUAUUCUUUUUCCCUUUUGAUAAAGAGGUCAGAUAGAACAAACUCUCCGGUGAGGUAGGAUCAAAUAAUUUGAUUGUCGGGCAGAACUCCUUUAUACACUUCAUUGGUUCCUCGAAAAAUUUGGGCAUUCUCUUGCGAAGAUGGUCCAGAUCUGCAGGUGUAAAUGAACUUUUAAACUCGCCAGUCCCUUUUUUUUUUUUUUUUUUUGCUUAGGGCCCAAUUGUUGCUAUUUCUUCUUUGGUGUCAAGAUCAUUACUUUUAAGUCAGUGUCUGUUGCCUGAGUCUUUCCCCCACAAAACAGUUUAACGCCUCUUUGCCUGCAUAAUAGAGUUGCAGCACUGAGAAAAACUCUUGCCAGCACAGGAAGGUAGACUAGCACCCUAUCCAUCUCUACUGAAAAACCACUGAAAACUGCCAUAGAUGUUCAAAGGAAAAUAUAAGAACUCUCGUUUGGUGACAAACACCCCAGAGAAAUUGCCCCACCAAGGCAAUCACUCCCAUUGCCACUACCACUUUGUGGAACUUCUUUUUGUUCCAAAGCCUUUGCACAGGAAAAAAAAAAUGUCUUUGAGUCUGGUACUUUAAGAAUUCCCUGCCCCCACAGGAAAUGAUAUCUUCUGAUUGGUUGCCUCAGUUGCUAGGUGGAGUUUAGCGCCAAGCUCAGGAAAAACCACCAUGGCAGCUCUAUUGGGAAAGCCUCCCUUUCUCGGUGACCAAAAACUGACUUUUUCUGACUUCAAAUCUGCUCAACUGUGAGUAGAUUCGAAACUGUAAGAGAGAUUGAAGACAAGUGACUGGGGAUUUUUCUAGACCCAGUCAGGCAAGACGAUCUCCUCAAUGGGAGAGAGCAAAAAUGGCUGCCCUCUACCUGAGUCUGACUUUGCUUUAAAGUCUCUUCCGUCCGCGGCUGCCGAGGCUACCUGAAUACUCUCUCUGGCCAAGUGAUUCCCCUUCUGUUCUCAUCUAUUUCUUGGCAAAACCCCACGGAGGAAUGAGUCUCAGUAUAGAUAGAGCAAAGAUGCAGUCAGGUAUCCGGAGUGAUGAAGGCUCCCCCAGGUGAGUCUGACGCCCCCACCAGGGCAAGCUAAGCAUUUCAAGCAACCCCCUCCGAGAUGUGGUCUUCUCAGUGUGACAGCAGAGUCAGGAGCUUCAACUGUCUUCAGGAUCUUGUUAAAUAUUCUAUUCACAGAAUUGGAGCUGGGCCUGUAGACAUUUCUGUCUCCAGAGCAAGGAUCCAACUUCCCUGGCUGGUUCGUUUCCCAGGAUUCCCUUCCUCUCAAGACUCUAAAAGGGUUUGCUCUUGCUUCUCCUGGUUCAACAGCAUUCCAUGUCACUAUGCUUGCAGUCUUGUUUCCUUUCCAAAAUAUCUCCUUCACAGUAAAGCAAGUUUUUGGAAUAAGAAUCCA